rnacentral:lncRNA from 1 species
AAUCGAUUGGGCAAUCCAUUGAGCAAUCGAUUUAGCAAGUCACAGAAACAACCAGUUAUGGGAACAAUCGAUUACCAAAUCGAUUGAUACCAAGUUUAAAAUCAGGUUUAAAGUUCUGUGAUGCAACAAAUCGAUUGGGACAUCAAUUGAUUUAGUUUUCUUAAAAAUCAGAGUUUGACGCAGUCGAUUAGGCAAUCGAUUGCAGAUUAAUCAUUCAUCAGAACAACUUUGAUCAAAUCGAUUGGCAAAUAGAUUUUGUCAAAAUAGCUGAGGUUCUGUAACACGCACAAUCGAUUGGCAAAUCGAUUGAUGGAAAAGUCUGAGUCACUAUGAUCAGCACAAUCGAUUGACGAAUCGAUUGAAGAAAAUGUUCAAGUUACAGAAAGGGUUCAGCUAAGUGCCAAAUCGAUUAUGAAGUCGACUGAGGAAUCGAUUGUUUUGAUUUUGUUGUUGAAUCAAAACACCUAUAAUCGAUUACUCAAUCGAUUUGGAUAAAAUCAUAGUUCCAGUUCUGAUUAAUGUAUUAAAAGAAUCGAUUGGCAAAUCGAUUCAUGCUUAUAUGAUUCAAUAUUCAAGAAAAACAAGACCUGCGAAAAUCGAUUAGGCAAUCGAUUAAUGCAUUAUGAAAUCGAUUAGGAAAUCGAUUGUCCUGAUGUUUUCUUUGAAUAUAUAUAAGAUGAUUCAGACGUUUUUUUAAAAAAAAACUUUGCACAAAACUUUUGCAUACUUUUCAUAAUCUUUGACAAUCACUUGAAAAACACUUUUGACAGAAAAGUUUUUCACACACACACAAACAUUCAUAGCCCAAAAUACUUUUGUGUGAGAACCAAAAUAGUGAUUUGAGUCAAAUCUUUGUACAUCUUUAAUUCUUGAAAAACACAACUCUUUGUAAUUGAAG